AACGAACGCUGGCGGCAUGCCUAACACAUGCAAGUCGAACGAGACCUUCGGGUCUAGUGGCGCACGGGUGCGUAACGCGUGGGAACCUGCCUUUAGGUUCGGAAUAACUCAGAGAAAUUUGAGCUAAUACCGGAUGAUGUCUUCGGACCAAAGAUUUAUCGCCUUUAGAUGGGCCCGCGUUGGAUUAGCUAGUUGGUGGGGUAAAGGCCUACCAAGGCGACGAUCCAUAGCUGGUCUGGGAGGAUGAUCAGCCACACUGGGACUGAGACACGGCCCAGACUCCUACGGGAGGCAGCAGUGGGGAAUAUUGGACAAUGGGCGAAAGCCUGAUCCAGCAAUGCCGCGUGAGUGAUGAAGGCCUUAGGGUUGUAAAGCUCUUUUACCCGAGAUGAUAAUGACAGUAUCGGGAGAAUAAGCUCCGGCUAACUCCGUG
rnacentral:rRNA from 1 species